AUCAGCCCUGGGGUUCAGAGGGAUCCUGACAGCUACUCCUCAAGAUCCUCUCUGUUGUGAUUCAUCCCCCCGGGGCCCUACAGUUUCUCCUUCCUGACUCUUACAUUUCUUUGGAUGGCAUCAUUAUUCUUCCUUUGCAGCUAGGUGUGGCCAUGUGAUAAAGUUGUAGCUAAUGAUACGUUGUGUGAAACUGCCAGAAAGCCUUCCCGCCCCGCCCCGCCCCCCACCCCCCCAACCGAGACGGGGUCUUUCUCUGCCACCCAGGCUGGAGUGCAGUGAUGUGAUCUCGGCUCACUGCAACCCCUGCCUCCUGGAUUCAAGCAAUUCUCCUGCCUCACCCUCCCAAGUAGCUGGGAUUACAGUACCUGUCUCCUCCCAUAGUUAGGUGCCAAGCACUGUGGAUUCUGCCUCUCAGUGUCCAGACACCCAUUUUCCUUCCCACUGUUCCUUCCCCAUGGAGAAGCCUGUGGCUGGCUGACAGCAGAGAGAGAUGCUCAACUUGGAGAAGGUGUUACCUGGGCCAGGUGGGGAAGGUUUGUUUGCAGAGCAAAGAAGUGAAGCCUAUUCAACGUGAAAAAGAUGAGGAUGAAGACCUUUAUUAUGAUCCACUUCCAAGUAAUGAACACACUGGAGAAAGUCAGACAGUCAAAACAAUGUCCCAGACUCCGUGAAGUUCCUGGGUAGAGAAGGAGACAGACAUAUAC
rnacentral:lncRNA from 10 species